UACGAAGGGGGCUAGCGUUGCUCGGAAUCACUGGGCGUAAAGGGUGCGUAGGUGGGUAAGUAAGUCAGUGGUGAAAUCUCCGGGCUUAACCCGGAAACUGCCAUUGAUACUAUUUGUCUUGAAUAUUGUGGAGGUAAGCGGAAUAUGUCAUGUAGCGGUGAAAUGCUUAGAUAUGACAUAGAACACCAAUUGCGAAGGCAGCUUACUACACAGUUAUUGACGCUGAGGCACGAAAGCGUGGGGAGUCAAACAGGAUUGAU
rnacentral:rRNA from 1 species